AAGACCUAAUGGCUGAGGAGCUUCAGGUUCAAUUGGUGGCCUCAGUUUGUAAAAAAGUUCAGGUUUGAGCAGUGAUUUAUGUAAGUAACUGUAGUUAAACCUGGUUGCAUCUGCAAGGAGGCCUCAAAAUUGUCUGAUCUUCACAAAGGAGAGAACAUUCAAGACAAAAACAAGAGCCACGAGAUGUCCUCAAAGGCUUGAGUCAAGAGCUUUCUUUGUGCCAGGGAUAGGUCAGUAUCAAGCAACGUGCAGACCAAACAUUACGGUCCAGUUGGUGGACUUCACCAUCGUCUAUGCAGGACAUAUCUUGGUGGCAACUAACAAAUAUGUGUUGAUGGUUUUCGUAAUCUGUGAUUGUUGUUGACGCUAAAUAGUAACAGGUUUGAAGGUGUUCCCACCUCAGGAAUUCUCGGAUGAUUGUUUCUCCUUUCUUGUGUAUAUCUGAUUGUUUUAUUACUCGACUCCGUGCAAUGAAAGUAAACAUGAAAUUUGUUUUUCUAUUCAAAUUCUAUGAAAGUAUGUUUAUA